rnacentral:siRNA from 1 species
AGGUACAGCACGAUUGGUUUGUAA